GAAAUUGAAACUGAAAAUGUGAACCAGCGACUUUACCCAGAAGCACAGUUGUUGGCAUCAAUGAGAUUAUUUUUUAAUGAAAUUAAAGAAAGUAGAGGUUUCCUUUCAACUGACACUGUUUUUCUCCAGACUCUACUGUGCGGCAGGAUGGUAGUUGUUUCCUCUCAAGGGAGCUAAAAAUUAACUUCAUCCUAUGGCAUGAUGUAUUAAAAUCAGCAGUGUUCAUGGUAACUUUCUCUUUCACCUCUCCAACAGAUAAUUUCUCUUAAGAUCCAACCCAAGCUAUUCUCUGUACACAAGCUAGAAUCAGCCAAAAACAUAUAAGGAGACUCCGCCAGGAGUGGGGAGUUCUUGAGAAAGCUUUUGCUUCUGAAAAAAAGAUAAAAGUACACAGGAGAGCUCUCUGGUGCCAUUCCUUGAGCAUGUGAGAGACUGUGUCACUGGGAGCAGCAGUUAUCUGUGGCCAUAAGUUGAGAUGACUGGAUGAAAUGCUAAAAUGUUGAGAAGACAACACAUAGGAGUGAAUGAGACAGAAAGCGAGACCAUGAGGAUGAUUAAGAAGAGCAAGUACAACAUGGCUGAGACUAAGUGUCCAGGGAGUUGAGAAUAAGUGGCCUAUUGUCAUGUCCUAUAUAAGUAGAGUAUGUGGAUGGGAGGCCAAGAACACACCAACAAAUAAAAUGUUGAAUACAUCAGUCAAGGGCAUAUCGAGAUGAUCAGGAUGCUGGCUCUUGGAAUGUUUAUCUUCCCACCCCACCCCAGAAGAGGACCUUCUUGGCUUGUUCACCACUGUUUCUCAGCCUGGCACACAGCAGGUGCACAAUGAAUAUUCAUUAAAAUCAAUGAUUAACUAAACUGGCUAGUAUUCCAUCUCAUGUUCAUUACUGGAGAACUGAAGAGCCAGCUAGCCUACAAAAACUCAUUCUGGAUUUAGAGGCAAUAAGAAAACAUGCAUUCAAAUAAAAUCAGAGAAUCCUUCU